AAGUGUUAUAGCUGUUUUAGAAUUUGUCUAGCAGCUUUUCCAGUUCUCACUAGAAGACCCAA
ensembl:snRNA U7 U7 small nuclear RNA